GAGUUCUACUCUCCCGACCAUCUCGAACUGCCCGAGGAAAUGACUCGUUGCCUCGGCGGGAGGCCCCUGGGAGGGGCCGCUGCCUGCGAGGGCGCCCGCCGGAGACGACGCAUACUCUUGCUUUACAGGCCUCUCUGAGCGAAAACACAAUAGUUAAAACUUUCAACAACGGAUCUCUUGGCUCU
rnacentral:misc_RNA from 1 species